UGGGGAAUUUUGGACAAUGGGCGAAAGCCUGAUCCAGCAAUGCCGCGUGUGUGAAGAGGGCCUUCGGGUUGUAAAGCACUUUUGUCCGGAAAGAAAUCCUUGGCUCUAAUACAGUCGGGGGAUGACGGUACCCGGAAGAAUAAGCACCGGCUAACUACGUGCCAGCAGCCGCGGUAAUACGUAGGGUGCAAGCGUUAAUCGGAAUUACUGGGCGUAAAGCGUGCGCAGGCGGUUUGCUAAGACCGAUGUGAAAUCCCCGGGCUCAACCUGGGAACUGCAUUGGUGACUGGCAGGCUAGAGUAUGGCAGAGGGGGGUAGAAUUCCACGUGUAGCAGUGAAAUGCGUAGAGAUGUGGAGGAAUACCGAUGGCGAAGGCAGCCCCCUGGGCCAAUACUGACGCUCAUGCACGAAAGCGUGGGGAGCAAACAGGAUUAGAUACCCUGGUAGUCCACGCCCUAAACGAUGUCAACUAGUUGUUGGGGAUUCAUUUCCUUAGUAACGUAGCUAACGCGUGAAGUUGACCGCCUGGGGAGUACGGUCG
rnacentral:rRNA from 1 species